rnacentral:rRNA from 1 species
GUCUUAGCUUGCUAAGGCCGAUGGCGACCGGCGCACGGGUGAGUAACACGUAUCCAACCUGCCGUCUACUCUUGGACAGCCUUCUGAAAGGAAGAUUAAUACAAGAUGGCAUCAUGAGUCCGCAUGUUCACAUGAUUAAAGGUAUUCCGGUAGACGAUGGGGAUGCGUUCCAUUAGAUAGUAGGCGGGGUAACGGCCCACCUAGUCUUCGAUGGAUAGGGGUUCUGAGAGGAAGGUCCCCCACAUUGGAACUGAGACACGGUCCAAACUCCUACGGGAGGCAGCAGUGAGGAAUAUUGGUCAAUGGGCGAGAGCCUGAACCAGCCAAGUAGCGUGAAGGAUGACUGCCCUAUGGGUUGUAAACUUCUUUUAUAAAGGAAUAAAGUCGGGUAUGCAUACCCGUUUGCAUGUACUUUAUGAAUAAGGAUCGGCUAACUCCGUGCCAGCAGCCGCGGUAAUACGGAGGAUUCGAGCGUUAUCCGGAUUUAUUGGGUUUAAAGGGAGCGUAGAUGGAUGUUUAAGUCAGUUGUGAAAGUUUGCGGCUCAACCGUAAAAUUGCAGUUGAUACUGGAUAUCUUGAGUGCAGUUGAGGCAGGCGGAAUUCGUGGUGUAGCGGUGAAAUGCUUAGAUAUCACGAAGAACUCCGAUUGCGAAG